rnacentral:rRNA from 1 species
CAGUAGCCGCGGUAAUACGAAGGGUGCAAGCGUUACUCGGAAUUACUGGGCGUAAAGCGUGCGUAGGUGGUGGUUUAAGUCCGUUGUGAAAGCCCUGGGCUCAACCUGGGAAUUGCAGUGGAUACUGGGUCACUAGAGUGUGGUAGAGGAUAGUGGAAUUUCCGGUGUAGCAGUGAAAUGCGUAGAGAUCGGAAGGAACAUCUGUGGCGAAGGCGACUAUCUGGGCCAACACUGACACUGAGGCACGAAAGCAUGGGGAGCAAACAGGAUUAGAUACCCCAGUAGUCCCUGUCUCUUAUAC